AGCCUUCUGUAUUAUGCUGAGAUUUUGUCACACACCAGACCACAAGGGUUGAUGAGAC
rnacentral:pre_miRNA from 1 species